rnacentral:rRNA from 1 species
GACGUAGGGCGCGAGCGUUGUCCGGAUUUAUUGGGCGUAAAGAGCUCGUAGGCGGUCUGUCGCGUCGGUCGUGAAAACCUGCAGCUUAACUGUGGGCGUGCGGUCGAUACGGGCAUGACUGGAGUUCGGCAGGGGAGACUGGAAUUCCUGGUGUAGCGGUGAAAUGCGCAGAUAUCAGGAGGAACACCGGUGGCGAAGGCGGGUCUCUGGGCCGAUACUGACGCUGAGGAGCGAAAGCGUGGGGAGCGAACAGG